CGAACUUCAAAUUACAGUGCAUGCAGAAAUUUGCAUUACUAAAGUGAACAUUUGAAGAAUGGGAUGAAAACGAGCUGCUUGAACGAAUAGAUAACAGAGACUCUGAUACCUUCACCGAAGAGUGCAGCAAGUCUAGAAGAUGGUAACUCUAUGUUAGUGUCGCUUAACAUGGUGUUGAUAGUGUCUGUUUUGCAUAAUAUUCUAUCAGCUUGUACAGUAAGAUGUAUAUAAUCAAUUUGAUACUCUAGUUACCUUACUAAGGAGCUUGAGGAUAACAAAUUCACUAAUCACCUUUUGGUUU